rnacentral:rRNA from 1 species
AUCCCAGAAACCCUAUCUCAGUCCGGAUUGGAGUCUGCAACUCGACUCCAUGAAGUCGGAAUCGCUAGUAAUCGCAGAUCAGCAUUGAUGCGGUGAAUCAGUUCCCGGACNUUGGACACACCGCCCGUCACACCAUGGGAGUUUGUUGCACCAGAAGCAGGUAGNUAAACCUUGGGGAGGGCGCUUGCCGUGGUNGGCAGAAGAGUGCUU